rfam:Ciona savignyi cont_2406, whole genome shotgun sequence.
UAAAUGGCUUUAUUUUACAAAUAUAGAAAGCCACAAAUAUAAAAAAAAGUUCUCUGU